UGGGGAAUAUUGCGCAAUGGGCGAAAGCCUGACGCAGCAACGCCGCGUGAGUGAUGAAGGCCUUCGGGUCGUAAAGCUCUGUCGGAGGGAACGAAUGCUCCUGAAGUUAACAGCCUCAGGAGGUGACGGUACCCUCAAAGGAAGCACCGGCUAACUCUGUGCCAGCAGCCGCGGUAAUACAGAGGGUGCAAGCGUUGUUCGGAAUCAUUGGGCGUAAAGGGCGUGUAGGCGGUAUGUUAAGUUGGUUGUGAAAACCCAUGGCUCAACCAUGGAAGUGCGUCCAAAACUGGCAAGCUAGAGUUCUGACGAGGAUGGCGGAAUUCCCAGUGUAGAGGUGAAAUUCGUAGAUAUUGGGAGGAACACCGGUGGCGAAGGCAGCUCUUUGGGUCCCUACUGACGCUGAGGUGCGAAAGCAUGGGGAGCAAACGGGAUUAGAUACCCACGUAGUCCCCUGAGCGGGCUGGCAAGGCGCAU
rnacentral:rRNA from 1 species